AAAAGAAACAAACAAAAUAUGAUAACUUAGGCACAUUUCUUGCCAUUCAUCAUCAUCCUUGUAAACUCAUUCAAAUCAAUAAGACCAUCUCCAUCACUAUCAACCCCUUUCACCAUUUUCUUACAAGCACUAAGGCUACAACUCUCUCCUAACCUCUUAAAUAUUUGAGACAAUUCCUCAGCACUAAUUUUCCCAUCACCAUUUAUAUCAAAUACUUGAAAAGCACUCUUAAUAUCUUCUUCUUUUAUCUUACUACCUUCUCCAUUGAACAUUUCCAUAAACUCUUUAAAGUCUAUGAAGCCAUCUUUGUCAGAGUCCAUUGCUUUAAAUGCUUUCACUGCAUCAUUGUCACAAAUAAUCCCCUUAUCCAAAGCUUUUGCAGCUGCUUUAUACUCUUCCAGACUAAUCUUGCCAUCUUUGUUUUUGUCGAAUUUCUCAAACACCCAUUUCAUUUCAUCUUUCUUUGGUUGGAAACUCAUUUCAGCAUUCGAUGUCUCUCUCAACUUGAAGCUGUUCUGUUCGGCUAUAUUUUUUCGCGGAGAUAUUGGCUUGGCUGAAAAGCUACCAUGAAGCUUUAGAAAACUCAAUUUUGACAUGGUAUUUUAAUUUUCUAAGGACUUUUGAUACAAUUUGGCUUUAGUAUGAAUUUGUAUUAUGAGGACAACUAUAUUAUGACUUGUUUAUAUAGAUUUCAUAAGUCUCCUACUCUUGGAAGGCUCUAGAUAUGAUUUGUAGAGGAAAAGUAGUGGAAUCUGAAUAAAGAUUUGUUCUUAUUCCAAGAGCUUUUAAACUAAAAGUUUGUGUCCUUUAUACUAGAUUCUUAGAGUUGUGGAUGUAAUUACUUGUGUUUAAAGUUAUUAGGUCAUUGAUAGACACUGAUUUGGGAAAGUUAGAAUAACUUUAUGGUGGAAGGGAUUUGAUCAAAGUUCACUUAUGAAUUAUGACUCACGGUGUAAGUUGAAAAGGAAAUGCAUAUAUGUUGGAUGAUUCCUUUUGAACUUUUAGUAUUCAACACAAAUAAUGCCCCGCUUGCUGAGUUGAAUCCUAUUCUCAUGUCACUAUUAAUUUGUUACUUUUGUAUACCAAAGUUUUGGCGAAUCCUUCAAUGAGUACAGAACAUUUUGUGAAGGCAUAUAUUUCAUCAAAACUACACAAAGACAGACUUCUACUUACACCAAAGCAAUAUCAAACCAAAUUGAGUUGGAUUUAAACCAUAACCAAAC
rnacentral:lncRNA from 1 species